rnacentral:rRNA from 1 species
UACGUAGGGGGCGAGCGUUGUCCGGAUUUACUGGGCGUAAAGCGCGCGCAGGCGGCUCACCAAGUCUGGCGUGAAAGCCCCCGGCUCAACCGGGGAGGGUCGUCGGAGACUGGUGGGCUUGAGGGCGGUAGGGGCUGGUGGAAUUCCCGGUGGAGCGGUGAAAUGCGCAGAUAUCAGGAGGAACACCCGUAGCGAAGGCGGCACUCUGGGCCGAUUCUGACACUGAGGAGCGAAAGCGUGGGGAGCGAACAGG